GAUGAACGCUGGCGGCGUGCUUAACACAUGCAAGUCGAACGAAGCACUUUAUUUGAUUUCCUUCGGGACUGAUUAUUUUGUGACUGAGUGGCGGACGGGUGAGUAACGCGUGGGUAACCUGCCUUGUACAGGGGGAUAACAGUUGGAAACGGCUGCUAAUACCGCAUAAGCGCACAGCAUCGCAUGAUGCAGUGUGAAAAACUCCGGUGGUAUAAGAUGGACCCGCGUUGGAUUAGCUAGUUGGUGAGGUAACGGCCCACCAAGGCGACGAUCCAUAGCCGAACUGAAUAGGGUGGCCGGCCACAGGGGGACGGGGACCCGACCCAACCUCCACCGGGGGGAGGAAGGGGGGAAUAUUGAAAAAUGGGAGAAGCCUGAAUGCAGCGACCCCGGGGGAGAAAAAAGUAUUUCGGGUAUGAAAACCUCUACCAGAGGGAAAGAUAAGACGUUUCCCUAACAAGAAACCCCCGCCAAAGUCGGUC
rnacentral:rRNA from 1 species